rnacentral:sRNA from 1 species
UAUAUGUGUACAGAAGUAUUGUUAAAAUUGAAAUAUCAGGAAAAUAGGUAUUUUGUUUUAUAUGGACUUAACUCGAAUGCUCAUAAAUUGCAGAAAUUGUAUGUGAUUAUUUAUAUUCUAAUGCUUGGAGUAAAACAUUAUUUCUUUCUUUCACAAAGUGCAAAGGGUUUCAGAAUCAAGUUUGUCUUCAAGCAACAGCAAAGGCUUGCUGACAAGAUAUUUUGAAACAACUUGCUAUUAGGAAGGAAGUCUGUGUGGGCGGAUGAGUAUCAGCUCAUGCCCAUAUGACACAUGCAAGUUGUGAACGUGUUAAAAGUCCAUGAUGUAGAACAUAAACGGGUGUGACAAUUUAUCUCAGUGCCAUAAAGGGCCUUUCUCUAAUCUGUAUUUUUGCAGUUUUAUUCUGCAUUAGAUCCCCUUUCCCUUUCUAUUUUGUUCUCUUUUACCUCAGGUAGGUCAUACGCUGGUAGUUGUAAACAUUACUGUUUAUAAAAUCCUAAGAAAAUGUUGAAGCUCCCAGACUAUCUUAAAUAAACUGUGUGAACUUUUGAGAUGAAAUUGUUUGCCCUUGUUACUGCAGUAAACUCUGCCAAAUCAUUGUUAUGUGAGGACUAUUAUAAGAUUCUAUCCUCUUUAGAAAUCUAAAAAUAUUUUAAUGCAUUUACAGUUACUAUGUAUAGAACUGUCACAGUGGCUUUAUGUAUAAGCAUCUUUGCAUCCCACAGAAUUUGAUAGUAAAUAGGACACUAUCAAUUUGUUACCCUAGAACAAAAGAAAAUCAAGUGAUUCUUCUCUAACAAUACAGCACAUAGAAAUUGGAAACGCAUCCAAUAAUGUAUUCAACAAACAUUUACUGAGCUUAUAUGCCUUUUAAGACUCGCUAACAGGUGCUUCAGAUUUUCCCAUAUGAAGAUCAUAGAGUCCAAGCUUGUGAGAAGUUCAGAGCCAAUUUCAUUACUGAACAAGUUGCUAUUAGUCCAGUUUUAUCCACAAUAUCCACAGCCUAUGUUUUCCUAUACACACUAACAAUGGACUUCUCUUAGGAACACUUGUCAUACUCUGAACUUGGAUUAAAUAAAGCUUUGGUAACCAUAUCUAAUGAGCAUUUAUAUAUUGAAGUAAUCACAAGGGCUUGCAAAACUUAACUUUUAAAGGCUUCAGUAGUAGUGUGAGUCUCUGUGUUUCCAAGAGUAUAGAGCACUUACUGUAUAUGGAGUAGAACAUGAAAGCGUCAACCGAGAGUUCACAAGGCGUCAGUAUCCUACCUAACAUGCUCGGUCUGAUAUUUACUCCAAGAAAUCUGAGGCUUGCCUGGUAUUUUCCUUUUAGACUAGUCCUCUUUUCUUUAAGAUAAUUAGUCAGUGUUUUUUUAAUAGUGUCUUAGCAACAUUUUAGAUUUAAGACACUGCUAAUGGUUACAUCAUGAGAAAUAUUCAAACAGAUCACUGUACUGUAAACCAGUUCUUGACAAAGUUCUAUGGUCUAACAAUCUUAACAUCCAUAGAUAAAUUCUAGCAGAGGUGUCAGAAACAAGCUAAUUUUUUUCUCCCUGCCUACUCAUCUCUCCUGUCUUAUGGAGUAGAUCUGUAAAACAUACCAUUUAACCUAACUGAGGUCUCAACAAACUAUUAGAGUUGUAUUCUCGCCUUUAUCUGUCCUAUAGAGGAGGCAUAAAAAAUGUAAGAGCCCGAAAAUAUAAAGGACACCAAGAACUAAAGGCCUUCUAAACAUAAGGAUGGCAGACACAUGAACUCACAUCACAGAAACUUACAGUAGCGUGCACAGGAUCAGUGCAGCUGAUGGCCAAGAGUGCAGCAAGAAUGCUUACUUCUACUUUCCAGAGUAUUCAUAACCAGAUAGUACUCAGAACCUCAGAGGGGAAGGCUGUUUAAGAAAGAUAAUGUCCUGUUAAAGCAAGAUGACAGGAGAAUAAUUCAGGACCACAUUAAUGGAAGACAAAUUAAAUACAAAUUAAAUUAAAGUAAAUGAAAUAAAAAUAUCCAUAAAAUCAUGAAAAUGCUCUGAGUAUUUUCAUACUUUUUCUAUUUCUUUAUUUUUAGAUUUUGAUAAUCUAUUUUGUUAGCAAGAAUUUUAUAGCAGCUAUACUCUUGCAAAGUGCAUGUUUUGGGGCUCAAAUUUGUUGUUUAGGUUGGACUAAAUACCAGCAUUAAAAACUUUAAAAAAAAGUGCCCAUUCUCAUCUUUAGAGUGUAUGGAUAGUUAGGCUUCAUGGUAAUGGAUGAAUGAGGAUUAAAGAUGUAGCUAAAUUCUAGAACAAAAAGAAGCAAAUACACCCAGGAGGAAUAGAAGGCUGAAACCAACCAAGUAGAAACAGAAAGGACUAUACAAAAAAUCAAGAGAACCAAAAGCUGGUUCUUUGAGAAAAUCAACAAGAUAGAUAAACCCUUAGCCAGACUAACCAGAGGACACAGAGAGUGUGUCCAAAUCAACAAAAUCAGAAAUGAAAAGGGACACCUAACAACAGAAUCAGAGGAAAUUCAAAAAAUCAUGAGAUCCUACUACAAAAGCCUAUAUUAAACAAAACUUGAAAAUCUGGAGGAAAUGGACAAUUUCCUAGACAGAUACCAGGUACCGAAGUUAAAUCAGGAACAGAUACGCCAUUUAAACGAUCCCAUAACGCCUAAAGAAAUAGAAGCAGUGAUUAAAAGUCUCCCAACC